rnacentral:hammerhead_ribozyme from 1 species
AUCCAGCUGAUGAGUCACAAACAGGACGAAAUGCGCAUCCUGGAU